rnacentral:rRNA from 1 species
GUUGAACGCUGGCGGCAGGCCUAACACAUGCAAGUCGAACGAGUGGCGGACGGGUGAGUAAUGUCUGUGAAACUGCCUGAUGGGGGGGGGUAACUACUUGAAAAGGUAGCUAAUACCCCCUACCAUCAUCUUUACCCAGAUGGGAUUAGCUAGUUGGUGGGGUAACGGCUCACCAGGGCGACGAUCCCUAGCUGGUCUGAGAGGAUGACCAGCCAAACUGGAACUGAGAAACGGUCCAGCUCCCUCCGGGAGGCAGCAUUGGGGAAUAUUGGACAAGGGGGGCAGUCUGGAUGCAGCCAUGCGGGGUGUAUGAAGAAGGCCUUCGGGUUGUAAAGUACUUUAAUCGGGGAGGCGUUACCCGAAGAAGAAGCACCGGCUAACUCCGUGCCAGCAGCCGCGGUAAUUC